AGAGUUUGAUCCUGGCUCAGAGCGAACGCUGGCGGCAGGCCUAACACAUGCAAGUCGAACGAACUCUUCGGAGUUAGUGGCGGACGGGUGAGUAACACGUGGGAACGUGCCUUUAGGUUCGGAAUAACUCAGGGAAACUUGUGCUAAUACCGAAUGUGCCCUUCGGGGGAAAGAUUUAUCGCCUUUAGAGCGGCCCGCGUCUGAUUAGCUAGUUGGUGAGGUAAAGGCUCACCAAGGCGACGAUCAGUAGCUGGUCUGAGAGGAUGAUCAGCCACAUUGGGACUGAGACACGGCCCAAACUCCUACGGGAGGCAGCAGUGGGGAAUCUUGCGCAAUGGGCGAAAGCCUGACGCAGCCAUGCCGCGUGAAUGAUGAAGGUCUUAGGAUUGUAAAAUUCUUUCACCGGGGACGAUAAUGACGGUACCCGGAGAAGAAGCCCCGGCUAACUUCGUGCCAGCAGCCGCGGUAAUACGAAGGGGGCUAGCGUUGCUCGGAAUUACUGGGCGUAAAGGGAGCGUAGGCGGACAUUUAAGUCAGGGGUGAAAUCCCGGGGCUCAACCUCGGAAUUGCCUUUGAUACUGGGUGUCUUGAGUAUGAGAGAGGUGUGUGGAACUCCGAGUGUAGAGGUGAAAUUCGUAGAUAUUCGGAAGAACACCAGUGGCGAAGGCGACACACUGGCUCAUUACUGACGCUGAGGCUCGAAAGCGUGGGGAGCAAACAG
rnacentral:rRNA from 1 species